rnacentral:rRNA from 1 species
UACGUAGGGGGCGAGCGUUGUCCGGAAUUACUGGGCGGAAAGCGCACGUAGGUGGUACGUCAAGUUCGGCGUGAAAUCUCCAGGCUCAACUUGGAGGGGUCGUCGAAGACUGGCGAACUAGGGUCUGGCAGAGGCCGGUAGAAUUCCCAGUGUAGCGGUGAAAUGCGUAGAUAUUGGGAGGAACACCAGUGGCGAAGGCGGCUCACUGGACUGGUACUGACGCUGAUGCGCGAAAGCGUGGGGAGCAAACAGG